CUGAACAUUUCAAUUCAGGUCUGAAGGAGGAGGUCAAAGGGGAUGUGGCCUCCAGUUGACCCAUGAGCUGGCUCCUCCCCCCCACCUCCCCUCCGUUCUUGGUUUGUACUAUUCAUCAUUCCCCUGGUGGGAGCUGUUUCAGAGACAUAGCUGGAGAGAGUAAGGUGUUAAGACUGAUUGGAAAGUACACGUGUCUGAAUGCAAUGAAGGCUUCCACAUAAACUUUAAGAUAUUGGGGGCCAGUGCAGAGAUCUAUUUGUCUAGUGACCACCAAGCAAGCCUCGUAAGUAAGUUCCUUUGCUUAUUCAACCUGCCACCUACCAACCUGGAGUGACCUGUCUCUUCACUCUUUCCUUGCCCUCGGUGUACGAGGCUCAGUUUGGGAACCCACAAGGUCUCUACAAAACUGAAUCUGGUCCACUGUGCCAUCUAGACACCCAGUCAUUCAUUUCCCACUGCCUGAUUUCUUUUUCAGGGAAGACUGUGCAUGAAAGGCAGAGAUACAACUUACAGCACUGCCUCGUGGCCUCUGUGACUGAAUCAGAUGUUGAAUCACUGCGGAAAUACCCCAGGGUUGUGUGUGUAUGGUCAAGUGCAAUAAUAAACACUGAGCACGGCACCUUGAAUGUCCUCAUGAAGGCUUGACGAGCUAUAUUUUCGGAUGCACGGGAAUCCUCCUUGGUGCGACAGGCUUUGCGGCAAGUUGUUAUCCCAGGCUGCUUUUGCUUCUGCUUCAGGCAAC
rnacentral:lncRNA from 1 species